rnacentral:rRNA from 1 species
UACAGAGGGUGCGAGCGUUAAUCGGAAUUACUGGGCGUAAAGCGCACGUAGGUGGCUUUGCUAGUCGAUUGUGAAAUCCCCGGGCUUAACCUGGGAACUGCAGUCGAGACUGCUUUGCUUGAGUAUGGGAGAGGGAGGUGGAAUUUCCGGUGUAGCGGUGAAAUGCGUAGAUAUCGGAAGGAACAUCAGUGGCGAAGGCGACCUCCUGGACCAAUACUGACACUCAAGUGCGAAAGCGUGGGGAGCAAACAGG